GCCCAGGACUGGGUGGCGGGAGUGGGAGCUUGCUAAGGGCUGACGGACGGCAGUGCUGCUGGGCUGGGUGUCCGGCCUGGGGCCACCCCUCCGCCUGGACAGCCAGUGGCUCCUGAGACCUGAGUCCAGGAGGGAAGUCGGUCUGGCCCUGAUGGGGAGAUAGGCGCAUUCUGCCUGCCUUCGCUCAUUCAAGACAGCCGUGGCCGUGGAGGCGGGCGUCUGAGAAGCACCAGGGCCCACGUGGAGCUCAGGGCAGCCGGCGGCCUCCGAAGUCUCCACAGCCGGAACAGCACCCAGGCCCCUGGAAACGGCACCUCCCCAGAAGGUGCGCUGAGCGGCCCGUCGCCCUUCCUUGGGGGGCAGGGCCUCCCUUCACUCCGCUCCCUGGAAGCCAAUCUUCGUGUCCCAUCAGUUGGACGCUGCCGGGCCUGACCUUACCCGGCUCCCUGGCUAAGUGGCCAGAAGCGUCGAUGGCCCUCCUCCGCCCCUGCCUCUCGGGCAGGAGGCUAGCGCGGCUCUCCCGCUGCGCUGAGAGGGCUUCCUGGGCCCGUGCUCUGGGGAAAGGAUGGCAAUACCCCAGGUCUUGCCCAGGGAGCCUGGCAGGGAAAGUCCCUCUUUGUCCCGGGACUGAGUGAUCUGUCCAGGGAGCCAUUGUGCAGCCGGCCACCUCCGAAGGGCAGCGGUCCCCCCAGGCCGACGGAGGGCGCCCCUGGCACUCCCUGCACAGGAACGAGGCCAGGGGCUGCGCCCACCCCUGCGCCCCCACCUCUGGUCCCUGUGGUCGGAGGUGCUCCCUGGUGGAUCCAUUGUCUGUCGAUUGUCUUUUGUUUCUGCUGCUGGCAGAGCGGCCCGGGUGCGAUCUGAAACAAAGUCUCCGUGCCCCCGGGGCCUGGCCCCGCUGCGGCGUUCCCCCCCCCCCCGCCCCCCCAGCCUGGCCGUUGCAGCAACAUGCAGAGGCAUCAGGUGGGGAACGAGGAGCUGGCCCGAUGCUGUCUGCUGCCUGCCGUCACCCAGGGACCCGCACCCCGGUCCCCCUCCCUUGGGGACCCACGAGAGGCUCCGGCUGCAGUGGGGGAGGGGGGAGGGGAGGCCACAGGAACCGAGUGAGGAUGGCCUCAGAGGGACCGCCUGGCAGCACUGGGCCUGGGGUCCCGAAGAUGCCCUUGGGCUUGGAAGGGCCCAGCCUUCUAACGGCUCCGUGGCCAGACUUAGCCGCAGAGCAGCGUGGGGCCCAGAUCCUGGGGCUGGACAGUGGAGAGCGACAUGGCUCGUCUCUGGCAAGUGCCCCCGGGAGCUGAGGACUGGGGCCGCAGCAGGGCUGUAGGAGGGCUCUGUCCCGGCCCAGCGCCAACCUGAAUUACUUAAAGCAGAAGGUCUGAGUGGCUUCUCUUUCAAAGCAGCCUGGUGCUGGGGUCAGGGUCAGGGACAGGGACGCGCCCCUGGCCCUGGGUCAGAGGUGCUGGGGCCGCGGCCCAGGGUGAUCGGAGGGGCCUGAGGGCUGCCCCCCACUCCCGCCCGGUCACCGCCUCCCUUCCUGUUUUCCCACCGUCGUGGGCUUGGAAAGAGGCCAGGGAGCAGGAGUUGGGAAGUUUUUCUUUCUCCUCAUUUCAGAAACACGAUGUCAUGUCUGUGAUGCUGAAACGCAUGGGCAGAUUUUAGGGAGGUUUCCGUUAUUAAAAGCGAGAGGCUAUCAAUUCAGA